UCAAGAAGGACUCCUCAAGCUCCACCUAAUGUUUGGCUAUUGUACUCUGCAUCUGCCUCCAUCAGUAACUGGAUGAAAUCUUUAUGGUCUCUUUGAUGAUGAUUAUGCUAGGCUCUGGUUCCAACAUACUCUGCAAGCAGGACAAACUAUAGGCUGAAUGUGUUGUGGCUGGAUAAAGGAAGCCAGCGAUGGAGAGUCACAGAAAGACUGACGACCAAGGACAAGUUCAAAGCCAGGUGCAGAUUCACAUCAGAACAUCAGGAGCAUGAACUACAGAUGGAUUUAAUGUUCUAAUUAAGAAAUUAACAAUGGUGAUUUAAAAGCCCAAGUAAAGCUGCUUACGCCGGACCAGUUUAAAGCCUAAUUAUACAGGGGAUUAGUCACAAGGACCAAGAGAGGUACAACUUGCACCCACCAAUCUCUUUUAUAACUGCAGACAUCAAACAAGUGAAAUAUUAAAGGAAAAGAAACAUUAUAAAGAAUAA